UUAUCAGACAAAGCUUAGCAGUGUUAAGUUAAACAGCAUAUAAUGUGAUUAGUGGGGCAGUCAUGCCCAUGAUGUCAUACACAUUCUCUGAACUCUUGGAAGGGGCAGAUAAUGUCUCAGGCAUUUGUUCUCUUAUGACACAGGAAAGGCUCCAUGGAGCUCUGGGGGCUGGGAAGGCUCUGUGCAUGUUCCCAUGUCCCACAGCACUGCAGAGGCUGCUCCCCUUGGUGCAGCACUCGGGCUGUGGUUGCUCCCUGCCGGCUCUGUGCUGUGGAGUGGUUAAAACAGGCCUUUGGGAAUAGUUUAGAAGCUUGAAAUUCUAUUCUUGACUCUGCCACAGACUUGGGUUUUGACCACUAAAUCUUCUUUGCCUCUGAUGGUAUUGCCAAGGGACAACUCUGAAUGAUGCACCAAAGACAUUUAAAUGACCUAGAUUAAACUCACAGAGGACUGUGCAUUCCAGAUAUGUUCUCAAACAGAGAACCUUUCCAAGAAUGAGUAUUUCUGUCACUCCUUAUUAAAGACAUGUACAAAUA